UACGUAGGGUGCGAGCGUUAAUCGGAAUUACUGGGCGUAAAGCGUGCGCAGGCGGUUCGUUAUGUCCGAUGUGAAAGCCCCGAGCUCAACUUGGGAAUGGCAUUGGAAACUGGCGGGCUGGAGUGUGGCAGAGGGGGGGUGGAAUUCCACGUGUAGCAGUGAAAUGCGUAGAGAUGUGGAGGAACACCGAUGGCGAAGGCAGCCCCCUGGGCCAACACUGACGCCUCGAGGACGAA
rnacentral:rRNA from 1 species